rnacentral:rRNA from 1 species
AGUGAACGCUGGCGGUAGGCUUAAUACAUGCAAGUCGAACGGCAGCACAGGAGAGCUUGCUCUCUGGGUGGCGAGUGGCGGACGGGUGAGGAAUACAUCGGAAUCUACUUUUUCGUGGGGGAUAACGUAGGGAAACUUACGCUAAUACCGCAUACGACCUACGGGUGAAAGCAGGGGACCUUCGGGCCUUGCGCGAUUGAAUGAGCCGAUGUCGGAUUAGCUAGUUGGCGGGGUAAAGGCCCACCAAGGCGACGAUCCGUAGCUGGUCUGAGAGGAUGAUCAGCCACACUGGAACUGAGACACGGUCCAGACUCCUACGGGAGGCAGCAGUGGGGAAUAUUGGACAAUGGGCGCAAGCCUGAUCCAGCCAUACCGCGUGGGUGAAGAAGGCCUUCGGGUUGUAAAGCCCUUUUGUUGGGAAAGAAAUCCAGCUGGCUAAUACCCGGUUGGGAUGACGGUACCCAAAGAAUAAGCACCGGCUAACUUCGUGCCAGCCGCCGCGGUAA